rnacentral:lncRNA from 1 species
AGGCACUGUACCUCUAAUGUGCUCAGAAGCAGGAGGCCAAGGCUCCAUGCCAGGUGGCGCUGGACUUGCCGGUUGACCUUGGACAUGCUGGAUCCCUUGGUUCACAAGAAAAACAAGAAGGGCAGGUCAGUUCAAACCUGAACAGAGGGAUUGACAGUCAGAGUUUAGGGGAGGCCUGAGCGAGGGAUAAUGCUGGUUCUUUGAACAAUGCAUUUCAUUGACUCUUCCUAGAAGAAGGAAUAUUUGGGUCAAGGAGACCUGCUUUCGAUUGAGUUUUAGGUCCCCUCUUCCAGCUCUCUCCUUUGGCAUAUCAUUUUCUUCUUGAAGAAAGUAUUGACAGCUGAUUUUCUAGAUGAAUUAAAAAAUAGAUAUCCUCUGAAAAGUUCAUUAACUAUCUUAGGAAAAUAUUAGAUCUUCGGAGGGCUUAUUCUCUGAUAAGAAGUCACUUUUUUACUAGGAAAUGGCGAGAUCACAAGCCAGAUCCACUUGACAGAACCACCUUCUGACAUUUUUGUUUCUCCCUGUACCUUCCUCACCCAACUCCACAUAAAAUACAGGAGGCCACAAUGGUCAGAUUUAUUGGACCCAUUCUAACUAGUAGGACUUUUGCUUAUACCCCUAACCUUUAAAGAUAGAUAUAUAUUUCUGUUUAAUUGAAUAAUUCAUUUUAAUAAUUGUUCUUUUUAGAGUCUUGAAACACACAGUCCAAUCGUCUUUAAUUCAGUAUAAAGUGUCUCUUGAUACUUCAUGCGUCUGCCAAUACAAAGAGAUACUUUCAUUAGCAUAAAUGGCUGGAGAAUUCACAGUAAGCUUGGUCUUUUACACAACACCAAUGUGAAUAUUAAUCACGAUAGCUGAGGUGAGAAAGAAUAAAUGGCAGCGUUUGAUACUGAAGUGUGAUUAGAAACAAAAUUAUUUUCUUUCGUUGAUUUAUUUGCAGAGAAUUAGAAAACCUUGCCUAAACUUGUCUUCUAUGAAGAAAAAAAAAGGCAAGUGAACAUUGUCAGCCUGUGUCUUCUAGAAGCACAGGAACCUUUUUUUUUUUUAGUUCUUUUUAGUUAUAUGUGACAGUAGAAUCCAUUUUGAUAUAAUUAUACAUGCAUGGAAUAUAUCUUAUUCUCAUUAGGGCCCCAGUCUCUAUGUUCACAUAGUGGGAUUAACAGUGGUGUAUUUAUAUAUGUGUGUAGAAAAGUUAAAUCUGAUUCUUUCCACUGUCUUUCCUAUUCCUGUCCCCACUUCCCUUCAUUCCCCUUUGUCUAAUUCUCUGAACUUCUAUUCUUCCUCUCUCUCCCCCUUAUUGUGGGUUUGCUUCAAAACUUUAAGGGGUGCCUCCUGUAACCUGAGAGUGAAAGAAGAAGAGAAAGAACUCCUUUAAUCUCCAUCUGCAUAGUGGGCAUCAAGAAAGCAGUGGGGAAGGGAAUGAGUAGAACAUUUGCUUUAACAAUAGCCAAGGCUGUUACGACAUCUAAACCCUGCUGUUCUGUGUGCCUCUCCAUUAAAGACAGACAUCUUCAGACCCACAGGCUUUCGACCAUUAUUUGAGUCACAUGUUUCCUAAAAGGAUCAAUCACACAUCUCUCAAUGCCCAUUAGAAUAUAUGACAUCAUGAAAUGGGUGGAAAUACCUUAUUGUACCCCUUGACCCUCUUAUUUCUCCAUUAGCAAUCUGUACCGAGUAACAUUGGUGUUACUUUAUAAGCCGUUAAAGUUCAUCUCUAUCUUCACCACCCAUUCAAACUCUCAGUACUUCCCUCUGCAUGGCCCCUUUAUGCCCUGAAUAUUCCUAUUCCAACCACAUAUCAAUGUUGAAUCCACUACUUUGAACAUGAUAGCUCAGGCUAAAAGGAAAGAUGAGUUUGCGAAUCAGACAGAUUUGAAUGGAAGACUCUUUUCUUUCUAGCUGUGUGAACUCAAGACAAGUCACCCCACUUCUCAGAGCCCCUUUCUACUUACCUAAAACACAAGAAUAGCAACACUUACUUUAUGGAAUUGGUGUAAGAAUUUAACAGAAAAAUGUAUGUGAAACCUCAGUCAAAUACUAUUGCAACUAGUGGUUCAUGCAUGCCGAUAUAGUCUGGAAUAAUGUUCCAAACAGUCUUACUUCAAGUUUUAUCUUUUAAAUAUUUUAAAGUCUAAAAACAAACAAAAAUGUGGUCUUAGGAGUCAUUUCUCCUCUUUGUUCAACUCAUCACUAGUUCUGUACUAGAGCUGGAACUUCAGUCUCCAUUUCUGAGGCCAUUCUAUGUGGACACUCCCUUACAGACACUGAAGAACAACAACAUUCUCAGAACAUUUCUUGAUUUUUUUCUUUUCUUCCUGUGGAUCCCCUGUCCCUUUAGUUCCCCUUCUUUUCUUAUUUCCAAUCAUCAGUUCCUCAGUUAGUAAAGGGCUUGGUGUCCCUUAAAACACUGAGGGAUCAGACAUCUACGGGACAUACAUCUGGAGUUGAGAUGUGUCUCUGUAUUAGUUUCUCAUCACUGCAACAAAUCAACAUAGGCUAGUAGCUCAAAAGAACUCAUACUAUCAUACAGUUUGGUAGGUUAGAACUUAAACAUGGUUCCCACUGGGCUAAAACCAAGGUGUGGACAGGGCUGCAUUCCUUUCUAGAACCUCUUGGGGCAAUAGACUCCAUGCCCCUUUCUAACUCCUAACCCCUAGAGGCCAACCGCACAAUCCAUGGCUCCUUUACUCCAACUUCAAUACCAGCAAUGUUGUGUCUCUCAGACUGUUCUUCCUUCCACAUCUGCCUCUGAUCUUCCUCUUUAGCCUCCCUCUUCCAAUUUUAAGGACCCUAGUGAUUUCAUUGGACCCACCUGGAUAAUCUCCUUAUUUUCAAGUGAGCUCAUUAGCAAACUUAACAUCCUCUGCCACCACAGUUUCUCUUUCCCUUGUAAACUAAUGUUCCACAGUCACAUGGAUUAGGACAGGGACAUCUUUUGGAGGCUUUUAUUUGGCCCACCGGAAGUUUUUAUUUCUUCUUCUUCUUCUACUUUGAAUGGCAUUCCCAAAUAGCCUCUUUCAUUAAUCUUACUUCAAUCAAUUCCACAUCCCAUUAAAAGAGAUUAAUCUUUGACUUACUAGGAAAAGGGGUAGAGACAAAACAUCCUUUUACGUAUCUAAAGAAUCUACUAGUUUGCCUUAUACAAUGACUAAUAAAUGGUAGUCUCCUCCCCUUUUAUUGGAAAAGCAGCAUCCUAGACACUACUAGAUGGGGGCUAAAUUUCCUGAUCCAACAUUCAUGGUGAUCUAUAGUCUGGUUCAAUCUGUCCAUACAUGCUAUCAUUCUCUGGCAUGUUCAUUGUCUCCAAAUGACACCAGAGCAAAUGAAAUCCUUUGAGAACCCAACCUCUACACCAGACAAGGUCCACAUGCAGAUUAAGUAUUAAGUAUUUCAAAGGUCUUACAUUUAAGAGUUUGAGUGGAGUAGUUUUGCCAUCAUUUUCUGCCUAGCACUCUGCAAUGCUGCUAUUGGCUCCUGGCAUCUUCUCAAGCCAUUUUCUUCUCCCAGCAUAUCGGUUAGUUUCAACUCUUUUGUGAAAUCUUCUGUCAAAAAGCUAUUCUUUCCCAGCUUAAAGGGAACUCUACCUUCUGAGAAUUAAAUGCAUAAAUUAAGACAUAUUCAUCAUUUGGUGAAGUUUUUAAAUAGCCUUGGGAUAUCUCCUGGGUCCAUGCGUGAUUAUCUCAUUUUCCCGAAACAAAUUGCAGGUCCCUCAAGGGCAGAAACUGUCUUCCAUCUUUUUCUAUUGCACAAGUCAAACAGUGGGUGUUGAGUUGAGGAGUGGGGUAUUGAAUCUUUAUUUGCAAUAAGGAAAAAUUACAGAAUUGCUUUGGAAAAAACAUGCAAAAAUUUGGGGUCUUUCAUGCUGGUCACAAAUAUGUCUACUUUGCCUAAGAAUAUGAGGAUUUGUACUUCCUAGUACCCUUGAAGUUAGGUGUAGUAAAUAUGACUCAUUUUGCCCAAAGGAAAUGUUAGCAAAAGUAACCCUCAUUUUUCAGGAAGUUUUUAAGUGUUUAUUGUGUCUUGUCCUCUUUUCAUGGUGACUAGCUAAAGUAAGGUGUGGAAGUUCCAAGAGCCCGUGUCCCUGAAUGAAGCUUCAACUGAAUUGAGAGGUACCUGAAGCAGAAGUGAAAAUUAGACCUGGUGUGAUGCAUUUGUUACAAUUAGUGAGCCCAUGUUGACGUACCAUUAUUAACUAAAGUCCAUAUUUUUCCCAUUCCCUUAGUUUUCACGUUAUGCCUCUUUUCUGUUCCACGAUCUCAUUCAGGAUACCACAUUACAUUUAAUUGCCCUGACCCUUCUGGGCUCCUCUUGGUUAAGACAUUUUCUUUGUGUUUCCUUGCUUUUGAUGACUUCAAUAAUGUUGAGUAACACUGGUCAGCAAUAUUGAAAGAUGUCUCUCUAUUGAAUUUGUCUGAUGUUUUUUCAUGAUUGGAUUGGGGUUAUGUGUUUUGAGAGGGAAGAACACAGAGAUAAAGUGCUGUUAUCAUAUCAUAUCAUAUCAAAGAUAUAUAUUAUCAAUAUGACAUGAUAAUUGAUGUUGACCUUGAUCAACUAGCUAAAGUGCCAUUUUUUUUUUGUUUUCUCCAUUGUGAAGUUGCUCUACAUUCAGCCCUUUUUAUAUUCUGUACUCUUGGAAAGAAAGUUACUAUAUACAGCUCUUAUUUUUAAAGAGGGGAAACUUUGGCUCCCCCUCUUUAGGAUGGAGUAUACAUAAAUUAUUUGUUGUUUCCUGCAUAGAGAUUUAACUUCUUCCCAUUUAUAAAUUUAUUUGAAAGUUGAUUUCUAUCAAAAUGGACUCAUGGAUAUUCAUUAUAUUUUUGGUGUUAUAGUCCAAUACUACUUUGUUUAUUUUAUUACUUACAUUUUUUCUAGCUUUGUGAAUUGGGUGAUCUUUCAAUUGGUUACUGUGAUCCUUUGAUAUACAUUGAUUUUUUUUUUUAGCACUUCCUUCCUUUCUGAAACUAUAAGAUGUUCCAGAAUCUCCUUGCCUAUUUCCUGCCCCAUAAUUAGAAUUAGUUAUUUCUCCACGAAUCCCUGGUUCUCUUUAUUAGAGUAUAAACCAAGAUCUGGGUGAUAGUUAUGUUCAUUUCUACUGGGGUAUCAUUUCUUAUAGGCCCUUUCAUCUGAUACUACAAUAAAUAUGCAUGUGUGUGUGUAUAUAUAUAUAUAUAUAUAUAUAUAUAUAUAUAUAUAAAUCCAUACACAUACAUAUAUCUAAAAGUAUUUCUACAUGCGACUCUCCAUAUCUGCAACAAGCUAAGUAAGAGUCCUCACUGAUAUCUUCAACUGUCACCAUUACCAAGUGGAUCAUUCUAGCCCCCUCACCCUUACUUAUCUGUAAAUUACUACUCCAACAGUGAACCAGAAUUCAUAAUCCAUAUUCCCAUGAGAAACAGCUUUAUCAAGCCAAGUACCAUACCUGUGUACAUCUCCUUUUACUUUUAAUCUUACAGACACUGUUCAUUUCCAAAGCUACUUGGGACAGCAGCAUUCCCACCCAGCCAUUCAAUGAAUGUGUUUUAUACAUUUAUGUAUACUCAGAUUCUCUUGUCACAGUUGUUGGGAGUUGUUUUUAGUCAUACUGUUACUAUAUUCUAGUCUCUCUUUUGAUGUGCCAAGUUGUGAAAGGGUUUACUAUAUUAAAAAAAAAAGUAGAGUUGAGAGCUUUCUUAGAAGGCAUGACUUUUUCUACCUCAUUCAUCACUCUGAGGUCAGAGGAAAAUCCAAGUUAACACAAAGAAUGUUUUCUCUAUUCUAUUCUCAAUCUACUUCCUUAAAAGUGUGGAAGGUAUUAUGGACUUCAAGGGUUAAUGCUCAUUAUAACUAGAUAAUUGUGCUUUUAGGGCCCCGUGGUAGAUGAAACCUACCCUCACCAUUUCCCCUCUUGCCCACAAACCACUUUUUGGAGACUAGAGAGGAGCCUGGUCUUGACCAUACCCUUGAGGUUUGAAGAUAGACAAAUUUGAACUCAUUAGAGUACCAGAGAGUGCAACAUGAGCCAAAGACAGCCAUAUUGCUAGUCUUGUGCUGUGCCUAUAUCCUAACUCAGACGGCCCCUUAGCUGCCAAGCCGACCUCAUAAUCAUGCCCUUGGAAACUCUAAAAUUCAUUUUCAAUCUUGCUUUUCCUAUAGAAUAGGAUCUUAAUAGCAUUCUGACUGUGACCUUUGAGAGUCCAAGAAAACACAAAAGAACUAUAGAACACUGACUCCUCAAACAGAUAAUAGAGUUCAAUUAUUAAAUACAGAGCUCGAGUAAACACCAGAUUGAAUUACUCUGGGUUGUUUCAGAAGCAUAACUUCAGGAACAUAAUGUUGUAACUUAGCCUUAGUUCCUCAGUGUUGAACUUGGCUUUAUAUUGAAUGCCACAGUCAGGUAUAGUGGUCCUACCUGCUUGAACUAAUCUCUAUGGUGCACACUUGGAAGCUUCCGGUCUGCUUGUUCAGUGGUGGUACAGAAUUAUGUUUCUAAGUAGCAGCAAAUCCCUUGUCAAAAAGGAUUGUUUUUAAACCUCAGAGACUUGUUAGCACUGUGUAACUAAUAAUAAGAAAAUGCUUGCAGAUUAAGAGGACUAUACCAAUGCUCAGAUCGCCAGACAUAAAACUGGUAGGAAUGUGCCUAUGUGUGUGUGCUCCACCCCCUUCCUCCCACACACAAGGACUUGUACACUAUAAAGAUAUAAGGAGGGCUUUCUCUCAAGGCAACCUGUCUUAUUUUGCCUGCCCAUUUAGAAGUAUUCCUAAAUAUUAGAAGCAUUUAAAUACCAUACUUUGGUGCUCAUAAAAAUUCAUGUUUAGGAAGAUUCAAAAAACACAAACUGUUGUUAAAAUGUCCAACUUGGACUGUUUGUUUAUUUCUCAAACUAUGUUUGCUCAAAAACCAUCACAUGCAUGCAUCCUCUGCUAAAGACAACUAUCACCCAGAGUUCUAACCAAUAAGUGUGUGCUUCCAACAGCCAAGCAUUGAGAGCUUUCUAAUCUGAGACCUAGAAGACCAGCAUGCCUCUGUCAAAGCAUUGAUCUACAUCCCAAGCAAGAGACAAUAAGUCAAAUACAAUUUGUAAAUGUAAUGUGUCAAUUUAAAACUGCUGUUCACAGAGGGUUAGAAAACCAAUUUUCAGAGGAGCAGGUCAGAAGUGGUAAACAAAUUCCCACGGCUAAGCAGUUGCUGAUGUAAAUUGUCUGAAAUGAAAGAUAUUUAUUCAUGACCACAGUGGGUUCAAAAAAUUAAUUCAGAGAAGUUUUUUUCACCUUCCCUGGAGUAUGCAAUUCUUAAAUAAAUGAUCAAUAGCUGACUUGAGCCAAAUAGAAGGACUUGUCCAGGAUCAGGCAGGUAAUUACUUACAGUGAUGAGCCUAGGAAGUAAGACAGCCAGGGACACAGUAGCAUUAAUCACGGCUUUAAACUCUCUCUCCCCUUCUAGCUGCAUCAUCUGAAAAAUCACCGAACAACUUAGUCCACUAGGAAAUUCAUAGAUCAGAGUGUGUAUUUCAGAUACCUCCAUCUUCAGAACAACUCCCAGAGCAGGCAGAAAGGAUUAUUAAUGGGAGGCAAUAUCAUUUUGUACCUUUUAAGAGACAUUGGAGCUCCUGGUUAGCUGAAGGAGCCCGAGUAAAUGAGGGUUGGGGGAGGUGAAAAAGACAUGAGCAAUUGGGGUCUGUAAAUAUCUGUUUAGUUCCCUGGUGGGAAUCGAGAAGAGAACAUUUGCUUCAUUUAGUCCUCAGAACAAAAUACCCACAGCUGGAACCCAAACUUUCUGCCUCUAUAAGCUGGGCCAAGAUGAAAAAGCUAAUGUGGAAUCAGUCUGGCAUUUCAGUCCUUUAUUUGUCCCCAAGGGUGACUCACUGACAGGUCUAUGGAAGAAAAUGGCAGUGUAGUGCGUCAAAGCAGGAGGAAAGGAACCCUGGAUGUGCAGAUAUAGUGACCCCACAAAUGCCACUUCUGUGAAUCCGGGAAUAGUUACUCAAGUAUGUAAGCAUAGCUGAAGUUAGAACAGUAAACAAAAACUAAUGUCCAUCUCUAGGGAGAAGGCUAAAAAGCGAAUAUUUUAUAACUACAAAAACAAAGUAGGGGGCUGGGUAUGUGGCUCAGAGGUAGAGCACUCACCUAGCAUGCAUGAGGCACUGGGUUCAAUCCCCAGCACCACAUAAAAAUAAAAUAAAGAUAUUGUGUCCACCUAAAACUAAAAAUAUAAAUAUUUUUAAAAAACAAGGUAGAUGUGUAUGUGUGUUGUUAUAUGUAUGGGUGUAUAUGUGUGUGUGUAUAUAUAAACAUAUACAUAUAUGAAUAUAUAUACAUAUAUAUACAUACAUACACAUACAUCUAUAUACACACACAUAUAUAUAGUAUAGAAUUAUUUUCAAUAUGAAUUAUUAAAUGAAAAAAGCAAGAAACAGAACAAGAUGGAUAGCUUGUUUGCACUCAUAGAAAAAUAUGUAUGUAUCAAUAUUUUAUAUUGUUAUCAUUAUACAUCCAUAGACAAUUUCUGGCAAACAUCCAAAAACUAUUGACUUUGAAAACUUGGGAAUGAAUGAAAGUCUUAAAAAAUGAGGAGAGGAAUUUAUAUUUUCCUCCAUAUUUAAUAUUUUUCUUACUGCAAAUGUAAAUUAAUUAUAAAAUUAAAACACACUUAACAAAAAAGCUUCCCUUUCCUAAGAGGAACAUGAAUCAAGUAGUCUGUAGCCCUCAGUGACUUAUUCUUUAGUCACUUACAACCAAUGAGAAAUUACUGAAAUCCAAGGUGUUUCAGGUAGACUGAAACACUAGUUCUGUGAUCUUGGAUAAGUGCCUUACAGAUUUUUUUUAAUAAAUUAAUAGGCCAGACUAGAUUUAGGAUAUUCACAGAAGAGGGCACAUCUGCUGCCUUGGGUGUGGAAGACUAGGGAGAAGUGGCAGGAUUCCAGAUGCUGUUGUCCAUACCUCUGCUUCAAGAGUGGAUUUAACCUCAUCUAAUUUACUUACAUGAUGCUUCCGGGUAGGUUAUAGUUAAAGUAAUGGGCCUAAGGCUAAAAUACACUGAAAAAUAAAAACUCCUGAGAAUGCAAGAAAUGCAUUUCUAACAUUGGUUAGCACUUAUUGAGUGCCCGUGAUAUGUUGAGCACCAAACCAACAACUUUAUAUGCAGCAUUUCUAUUAAUCCUUACCAUAAUUCUAUGAAGUAGGUAUUAUUGUCAUUCCCAUUUGAGAGUUAAAGAAGCAACAAUGACCUCCCUUGCCCUAGCCAAUAUCCCACAAAAGGAAAGAAUUGAAGACAAGAGAACAAACUCAGGAACUCCCAAGUAGUCCACUUACUCAAUGACUAUGAGAUACCUUGUCAGGCAUCAGAACAGGGAAAGUGUGUUCCCAUCUUACCUAGCCCACCAGGAGGCCAACAAGAUGAUAAGAUGGUAAGGUAGGUGCUUGGUCAGUGCUGCUCAUAGAAAUUUGCAUUUAUAUAGACUGGGGACUGAGCAGCAUCACCUGGGAGCUUUCAAGAAAGACAAAAUCAUAGACUCCACCCAGGAUGACAGAGUCAGUGACUCUAGGGGUAAAGGCCUGCCAUCUAAAUUUUAAUAAGGUCCCCAGGGAAUUCAUAGAUUCCUUCAGGUCUGAGAAGUGGUCUGAACACCACUACUGAGUUUUCAGUUCAAGUAUAGUGGCCAUUACCUCUCUGAAGAUUAGAAUCACCUGGAAAGUUCUUUAAGACUAUUGAUGCUCAAGCCCCAAUUAAUUAAAUCUUAGGGGAUACCUGGAAGUGUUUAUUUUUUGUAGCUGCCUGGAUUAUUCCACUGUGCAGCCAAAGUUAAAAAACAUUAUUCUAAACCUAAAACUUCAAAGACCAGUGAGUCUCUUUGCCUGCAUAAAAUCACUUGGGGAGCAUUAAAAAUACUGAUGUCUGAACUCCUAGGGAUUUUGUUUCUGUUGUUCUGGAGAGUGGCCUGAACUUGGGACUUUUUAACGCUCCCUAAACAACUUGAACAUACAACCAGUCAAGAACCGCCUUAGGAGGAGGGAGGGCCCAGUGUAAAACUGGCUUCUAUUUCACAUGGUUCAUCCACUCAUAUAGAUGCAACAAAAGCUUAAGGCUAAUGACAAGGAGAUUCCAGUGGAUUUCCACCAGGACUUGGGCACUCUGAGCAAAUUCCUAGACCAGGAACUCUAAGACACUUAUUUGUCAACAUUGCCACAAUGUAAAAGUUCUGCUGUGUUUUUACUUCCUCUUGACUCCUCCAAACCCUCAGACCAGUAAAAAUGAGUACAGAUACUGCAGUUUGUGAGCUUGACACUUAUUUAGCUGUAAGCUCAGAAAUCUGAAUCAUCGUUCCCAGGAAACAUCUAAAAUUGCAGCCUGUUGAGAAGAAGAUGCUCAAAGGAAAUAAACUCAGACCCAGCCUACUCCUGAGAAAAUUAUGCCUUUCAGGGAAGAACAAAGCAUCAUACCUUUUAAUGAACAGGAUAUAUUUGCUUGGGUCUCAUGUUAAUUUAGGACUCAGGCUAAUCCCAGUGGAGGAGUCAACAUUUGCAUUUAUAUAGAGGCUGAAUACUCUAUCAAAAGACAUCUGUCCUGAAAUUUUAUUUUUCCAUAGGAAACAGUGAGGUCAAAAUGAUAACAUCAUUGGGUAAGGGUAUUGGACAAAGCAUAAGCAUUUAACACAGAGAGAUUCAAGUUCAAGUCUGACUUCUGCUUUUUAACACUUAGGUAAGUUAUUUUAUCUCUCUAAGGUACCACUUCCUCAUCUAUAAAAUAGAGGUAAUAUCUCUUUCAUGAGCAGAUUGAUAAUAAUCAAAUGGAAUGCUAAGCAUAAAGCUUCUGACACAAUUGGUAUAGGCACCAAAUUAAUAUUUGCCUCCAUUUCAUUCCUUGCCUAUAUUUUCUCAACAAACAGGAGAUGAAAUAAAUUUAUUUCCUUUAAUUGAAACCCAUUCUGGUUCCAUAUAGGGCAGCUAUCAGGCAUCACUCACACUGAUCAAAGCCAACAUUCCACUUUUGGGGAAGCUUACGAAUUCUCUGGGCUCUCCAUCCAGCAAAGAGACUACCAUGAUUUAUACUGGAGCAACAGAAAUUAAAGAGCAACAAGAGAUUGAAAGGAACUGAAGGAGGAAAUAAGACUCAGAAAUCAGAAACCAAAAAAGUGGAAUAAAUGUGGUCCAUUUACCUGCAAAUUUAACCAACCCAAGCUUUCAGAAAAAUAUGCAGACUAAUGUUUAUUUCUCUGUCCCAGGAUCCCAGUCUUAUCAUGUCCUGCUCUUAAGAUACUCUCUACCUAAGCAAUAUGCUUUCAGAAAUAACUGAAAACUCACCAUAAACAGAGUGGUAAGUUUGGGUAGGUAAAGAUGAAAAAUAAAUCGGUCCUUUGAGGAAGACUUCUGUUGAUCCAGAGCCAGGAAUUCACAUUUAACACCCUCUUGCCUGGACUCUGUAGGAGCCUAGGGUAGCAAUCUCCCCACCUAGAAAUUGUUUGCUGCCUUCUGCUCUGAAGAACUUCUUCCUUGACUGUGCUGAGCUCACUCAUAUGGGGACUUCCUCAGACUUUCUCAGUCUUUGUCUCAUGUUCUUCUUCCUCUGACCAUCCUUUGUAUGCUGUGUUCUCCCAGAAAGAAAAGAACACAGCCCAAGUCAUCAACCUAGCACCUCAUCCUCACCCAUCAUUUCAAGGACAACAUUUGUAGGAUAACCCACAAGGCCAUUCUUCAUUCUCUGCUCCUCUCCUGUGCAACAAACUUUAAUACCCAACUGCCACCAAAACCUGAAUCCAACAUGUCUAAAACCUAACUAGUAUUUUCUCCCAAAUUUGUUCUGUUUCCUAUCAUUUGCACCUCAUGAAAGAAGCCCCUGGUAACACAGUUACAAGUCAAUCUGUCCUUGACCUUCAUUCUCUAAUGUAUCUAAUCAUCAGAACAUCUGACAAUUUGAUUCUUGUUUCAUGAAUCCACUGGACAGCUCCAGAAUCUGCCUACUUACUCUUUGGAAGGCCAGAUACCUACAUAUGAAAAACUAAUAUUGGUAUGAUGCAGUCUCAUUCGCCUGUCCAAUAAAUGUUGGCUAAAAUUUUAUUUCUUUGUAGACAUAGGUUCUUGGAGAGAGAGGAAAAUGAGAAUCUCUUUCCUUGAGAAGCUCAUAGACUAAUAUAGGAAUGAGGAAAGAACUUAUAUAUCAGUACCUAAAUCCAAAGUUGGCAAUGAUGACUAUGAUAUUGUGUAAUACUUGCUAAAAUAAAGUGUCUCAACUUUGAACAUUUUAAGGAGGAUCCUUCAUUAGACAGACUUUGUACAGGAAAUUCAAAGAUAAGAAGAUACUACUGCUGUUACCACUGCCUUCAUGGACUCAUGUUUAUUAACGACUUUACAAACAUACAAGGCUUUGUGUGCAUUUUUCUAUGUACAUCUCUCAUUCAAUUUUCACAAAGCCCAGCAUAAUAGAAACUGCAUAAAAAUACUUCUAUCUUGCUAAUGCAGAAACUGAAGUUUCCAGAGAUUGAUUAUUGUCUAAGGUCACACAAUUAGUAAAGACGCAGAUCCAUUCUUUAAAUCACCACGUCACAUACAGAACACCAUGUCUAGCAGAAUGUAAGAUAAAUUCCAUGGGAAUGCCACAGAAGGUCAGAAUCAAGCUGUUUUCUCCAGUAUGAUGGCCCCUAGGCACAUGUAGCUUCUGAACAUUUUGUGAAUCAUCCAAAUUGAAAAAGAUACUGAAAAUAGCUAGUCCAGAUUUUGAAGAUUUCAUAUAAACAAAUAAUACAAAAUAUCUUAAUAAUAACUUUUCAAUGAUUAUAUAUGGAAAUAAUAUUUUAUAUAUAUAUUGGGUUAAGCAAAAUAUAUUAUUAGGAUCUAUGCCACAUGUUUUUCUUUUUUAGAGCAUUCUGUUUAUAUAUAUAGAAGUUUGGUUCAUUUUGACAAAAUUGCACAUGCUUGGAAUUUGAUUUACUACAUUUCAGUCUUCAUUCCCCCUGACUUUUCUUCCUCUCUUCUCUCCCCAUUCUUCUUCCUCUAAUCUACUGAUCUUCCUUUCAUUUAUUUAUUUAUUUAUUUAUUUAUUUAUUUAUUUUUGAUUGGUGCUUUCAAAAUACACAUAAAGGUGAAAUUCCCUGUGGUAUGUGUAUAUAUGCACAUAACAUAAUGUUGUUAAAUUGAUUUCACAUCCCCACCCCUUCCCAUCCCUCUUUGCUCCCUCUUGAUCUCCUUCUUCUAUUUAUUCCACAAUCUUCCCUAAACAUUUAUGAUAUCCUAUCUUCAUUCCUUGUUAUCUUCUUUUCCUUAUUUUGUUCUAGUUUCCACAUACGAGAGAAAACAUUUGACCUUUGAUUUUCUGAGUCUGGUCUAUUUCACUUAACAUGAUAUUCUCCAUUUCCAUCCAAUUUAUCAGCAAAUGCCAUAAUUUCAUUCUUCUUUAUGGCUAAGGAAAACUCAUACUGUGUAUACGUAACACAUUUUCUUGAUCCAGUCAUCUAUUGAUGGGCAUGUAGGCUGAUUCCAUAAUUUUGGCUAUUAUGAAUUGUGUUGCUAUAAACAUUGAAGUGGCUGUAUCAUCAUAGUAUACUGAUUUUAGUUCUUUUGGAUAAAUAUCAAGAAGCAGCACAGCUGAGUCAUAUGGUUGUUCUAUUCCUAGUUUUUUGAGGUGUCUCCAUACUUCUUUCCAGAAAGGCUAUACUAAUUUACAGUCCCACCAACAAUGUGUCAGUCUUCCUUUCCUCCCACAUUCUCGCUGGCAUUUAUUAUUAUUUGUAUUUGUAUUUUUUGUUGUUGUUGUUUUUGGUAUCCAGGGUUACUUUAACCCUUACCUACAUCCCCAGCUCUUUUUAUUUAUUUAUUUUUUGAGACAGUUUAUGGCUCAAUUAUUUAGGACCUUGUUAAGUUGCUGAGGCUGGUCUUGAUUGUGAUCCUCCUGCCUCAGCCUCCUGAGUCACUGCAAUUACAGGUGUGUGCCAUCAGACCCACCUAGUAUUUGUAUUCUUGAUAAUUGCCAUUCUGUCCAAAGUGACAUGAAAUCGAAAUGUAGUUUUCAUUUUGCAUUACUCUGUUAGAGAAGUUGAACAUUGUUUUCAUGUUAGUUGGUCAUUUGUGUUUCUUCUUUUGAUAAGUGGCUGGUUAGUUCUUUUGCCCAUUUAUUGAUUGGUGGGGUUUUUUUUUGGUGUUUAUUCAGUUCUUUGUAUAUUUGGGAUAUUAAUCCCCUAUCAAAGGAGCAACCACCAAAGAUUUUCUUCUAUUCUGUAGGGAGAAUCUCUCUUCAGUUAUAAUCAUUUCAUUUGCUGUGCAGAAGCUUUAUGAUUUGAUGUUUUUACGCUUAUUGAUUCAUUCUUGGUUUUAUUUCUUGAGUUUUAGGGGUCUUGUUAAGAAAGCCAGUGCCCACACCAAUAUGUUGAAAUAUUUUCUUCUAGAAGUUGCAAGGUUUCUCACCUAAUUCCCAAGUCUUUUACCCAUUUUGAUUUGACUUUUGUGCAGGGUGAGAGGGAUCUAGUUUCAUUCUUCUACAUAUAGAUGUCCAGUUUUCCCAGCCCUAGCCCUAUUUGUUUAAAAGGCUAUUUUUCUACAACAUAUAUUUUUAGCAUAUCUGUCAAGUAUCAGAUGGCUGUUACAUAUGUGGAUUUGUCUCUGUGUCUUAUAUUUAGUCCAUUGGUCUUGAUGUCUGUUUUGAUGCCAAUACCAUGCUGUUUUGGUACAACAGCUUUGUAGUAUUAGUUCAUAUCAGGUAUGGUGAUGUCUCCUGCAUCUUGCUUCUUGCUCAGGAUUGCUUUGGCUAUUUUAGGUCUCUUAUUUUUCCAAAUGUAUUUUUGGACAAUUUCUUUUCUCAUUCUGUGAAGAAUGCCAUUAGUAAACACAUUAUAUUUAUGAUGGGGAUUGCAUUGAAUCUGCAUAUUGCUUUUGCAGUAUGGACAUUUUGACAAUAUUAAUUCUGCCUAUGCAAGAGCAUGGGAGGUCUUUACAUCUUCUAAGGUCUUCAAUUUCUUUCUUCAGUGUUCUAUAUUUUUUGUUAUAGAUCUGCUUCACCUCCUUGGUUAGCAUUAAUUAAUUAAUACUAAUUCCCAAGUAUAUUAUAAUGUUAUUGUGAAUGGAAUGGAUUUUCAUCUUUCUCAGUAGAAUCAGUGCUGAAAUACAGAAAAGCUAGUGAUUUAUGAAUGUUGAUCUUGUGCCCUGCUACUUUGGUAAAUUCAUUAUUAAGCUUUAAAGGUCUUUUGGAGAAGUUUUUUGGGCCUUCUAGAUAUAGGAUCAUGUCAUCAACAGAGAUAGUUUGACCUUUUUUCCCCUAUUUGUAUCCCUAUAAUUUCCUUCUCUUGCUUGAAUGCUCUGGCUACAGUUUUGAGACCUUUAUUGUAUAGAAAUGGUUAGUGUGAACAUCCAUUCCCUGCUCCUGACUUGAGAGGAAAUGCUUUCAGUUUUUUCUGUUUGGUAUGAUGUUGGCUUAGGGUUGUAUGGUCUUUUUUUUAUGUUGAGAUAAGUUCCUUCUGUCCCUAGUUUCUCCAGCAUUUAAUAUGAAUGUCACUGGUUUCUUUUUACCUUUCUGUGUGACUACUACAGAAUGCUAAGUUACAUUCGUGGUACACAUUUUUAGCACACAUUUGUGGCUUAUGUUACAUUUCUGUUGGACGGUAAUGAGCUGGAGUGUUGAAAGGGAUAUAAGAUGACUAUAAGUGGAUCAAACACUUAGGUAUUAGACCAGAAACCUGCACAAACUAGAAGAAAUAGUGGGGCCAACACUGCAACGUAUUAGCUCAGUAACUGAUUUCCUUAAUAAGACUCCUAAAGUACAAGAAGUAAAAUCAAUUAUCAAUAAAUGGGAUGGCAUCAAACUAAAAAUCUUCUUCACAGAAAAGGAACUAAUCAAGAGUAUAAAGAGAGAGCCUGCAGCAUAGGAGAAAUUUUGGCCACCUGAACCUCAGAUAGAGCAUUAAUUUCCAAGAUAUAAAAAAAAAUCAAAAAACUUAACACCCCAGAUCAAAUAACUCAAUCAAUGAAUGGGCAAAGAACCUGAACAGGCACUUCACAGAAGAAAUACAAAUGGUCAACAAAUAUAUGAAAAAAUAUUAAACACCUCUAGCAAUUAGAGAAAUGCAAAUUAAAGCUACACUGAGAUUCCGUCUCACUCCAGUCAGAAUGACAAUUAUCAAGAAUACAAGUAACAAUAAAUGUUGGUGAGGAUGUGGAGAAAAAGGUACAUUCAUACAUUGUUGGUGGGACUGAAAAUUGGUUCAACUACUCUGGAAAGCAGUAUGGAGAUUCCUCAGAAAACUUGGAAUGGGGCCACCAUUUGACCUAGUUUUCCCACUCCUCAAUAUAUAUCCAAAGGAUUAAAAUCAACAUACUACAGUGACGCAGCCACAUCAAUGUUUAUAGCAGCUCAAUUCAUAAUAGGUAAACUGUGGAACCAACCCCAGGCGCCCUUUGACAGAUGAAUAAAGAAAAUGUGACACACACACACACACACACACAAUUACUCAGCCAUAAAGAAGAAUGACUUUAUGGUAUUUGCAGGUAAAUGGAUGGAUUUGGAGACCAUCAUGCUAAGUCGUAUAAGACAGUAUGCAAAAGCCAUAGGUUGAAUGUUUUCUUUGGUAUGUGGAAGCUAACCCACAAGAAUAGGGGAGGUGAGGAGAAGAAUAGAAGUUUAGUUAGACAAUGGGAAAUGGAGUGAAGAGAGAGGAGAUAGGAAAAGGAAAGGCAGUGGAAUGAAUCUGACAUAAUUUUCCCACGAACAUAUAUGAAAACAACACAGUGAAUCCUAUUAUCAUGUGCUGGGAGCCAUUAGCCAAGUAGGUAUGACAAUUUCCUUGCCAGCGUACCCCAUGUUGCAGUGACAUUGCAUGUAGGUGACCUUGCUCAAGGACCAGGGCGGAUUAGGGUGUUCCCGGUUUAGGAUAAUUGGGUUUAGAGCUUUCCAGUUUAGGGCGUUCCAGGUUUAAGAUUAUUCCUGCUGGGAAUAGGGCGUAUCCUGCUGCCUGAGUUCCCCUUGAGUUCUCACGGGAUUCAGACAGUAUUUUUUGGGAGAUAGAAGCCCAGUGGGAGUGGAUUUUGGGCAGAGAACGUGGAUUUCCCCAGAACGUGAUUGUAGACGGCUGGUGUGAGUUCUGGAAUAAAGAGUUGCUGUUUGAAUCUACAAGCUGUGUGGUGGCUCGUGAUUGUGUGCCCAGCCAGACUGCGGCAUUUGUGCCCAGCCAGACUGCGGCAAUCAUGUACAUCCACAAGAAUUGGAUCCUAACUAGAAUAAUAUGUAUUCCAUGCUUGUAUAGUCAUUAUAUAAAAUUGAAUUCAACUGUCAUAGAUAAUUAGAACCAAUAAAUAACAAAAAAGGGGGGGCAGAGACACCAAACAGUUGAACCAUGUUAGAAGGUAUCACAGAACUCAAGAUCUGAGUUAAGGGCUCUGAAAGACCACUCAGCUUUGAAUGGGUAGUGAGAUCUGGGGUAGAUUUUUUUAAGUGGAACAACUAAUGAGAAAUGACAGUCUGUUAUCUUUUGGGGAAUAGAAGAGAGGGCAGCCAAACCUGAACCAUAGAGUUUGUUCCAGGUACCUAUACAUAAAUUGAAACUCUCAUUUAGACUGAGGUCUGUGAACAGGAAAUAGCUUUUAUCAAAUUCUUCACUAGGGACCUAUUGUAAUUCUAUUGCAAAAGGAAGUAAACUGUAAGUUUAAAUAACUGUGCCAUUUGGAGAACUAUUAUUCUGUGAAAAUAUUAGGUAAGACAGGUCCUCAGAAAUUUGAGACUGUAAAUUGUUCAUUCUUGAAAUUUUCAAGUACAUUAUCUCUAAAUUAAAGGUGGCACUCUAAUAAAUUAAAGCUAUUUUACCUUAGAUGAAAGAUUAUACUUCUGACUAUAAAUUCUGGUCCUAAAUACUGGCCCUAAAUUUGUGUUAAAAUUUCCUUUUUGAAAAUAUUCAUCCAAUGUCGUCUGCAGUGGAGAUAUAACAUUUGUGUAUAAAUAUGAAGUUAAGGUGACACUUUAUGGGAAAGUUCACAGUUUGGAUGUCAAAUAGAUCUGAGUUGCCAUUCUGGUUCUCACAAUUAAUGGUUGGUGGCUUAGUUGCUCCGUACCUAAGUAAUCUCAUCUGUAAAACGGGGCCAAAGAUACCUACUGACUCCCUACACACAGAGAAGCUGUGUAGGGUUAAGUGAAUAGAGGCAGACAGUACCUUUGGUACAGCACUGGAAUGUCUUGAAAGCUCAGAGAAUGGUAGACACACAAAUGUGUGAACCUGGUGUGAGAAUUGCAGAACUGGUUUUUAAUAUCCUGACUGGGAAAGCAUAUGCAAAGCUGUCCAUGAGACUUCCUAGAGCCUAAAAUCAACUCUGCUCUUGGCUGUCUUAAGCAGUCUUUGGAAUGUUCUAUUAGUGACAAAUGAACUGAGAAUAUACCAUUUGUAUAAUAAGCAGAGAUUUCCUUUUCAAACUUCCUUAAACAAGAUGGGGAGACUGUCUUUUAGACCAAAAGGAAUAUCUCAAGAGACUGAGCAUAUGUUGAUUUGAUCUCAAGCCUAGACUUGGAGAGCAAUGCAAAACAGUAAGAAAUAGAAUCUGGUCAUCCUAUCACCCAUAAUGAAUCAUUUGCUUUCAGCUCUUUACAUAAAUACAAACAAAGCCAAUUUUGGUUAAUCACAUAGCCAUCUAUGAAAGAGUAGACUGGAUACUCCUUUUAUUUUACAGUACUGAUUCUCAAGAUACACAUGAGGGCUUUAAAUUCUGUUUGAGCCUUGGGAGUGAGGACCAUCUUAUCCAUACCCGAAUCCCCAAAAAUUAUUAGAUCAAGUGCCAAAAAAAAAAAUACUUAACUGAAUGAAUGAAUGAAUGAAUGAUCUGGUGAGAAAAUAAUACAUUUUUACAUGCUUUAAUGGGGAAUGAUGCCACUUUAGCACAGGGGAGAAGUGUCAUACUGUCAAAGUUUCCUUGGGACAGUGGUACUCAAACUCGGUUAUGAGCCAGGCAUGGUGGUACAUUCCUGUCAUCCCAGCUACUCCAGAGGCUGAGGCAAGAAGAAUUACAAGUUCAAGGCCAUCCUGGCAACUAAGCCAUUACCUUGUCUCAAAAUAAAAAUAAAAAGGGCUGGGGAUGUAGCUCAGUGGUAAAGCAUCUCUGGGUUCAAUCCCUUAAAAAGAGAGAGAGAGAGAGACCCUGUGACCAACUGACCUGGUUAUGGUUGAAAAACCCAGAGAAGGCAUUUUUAAAUUACACAUUCCCUUGCCCCUAAUUCUAACAUUGUAUUUCUAAUAUGGGGAGCAAAACUAUUCCUCUCAGGCAUUUCAGAAAAUCAAACAGACUUGGGCGAACACAAAGCCUGCAGCCAGUGAACUUCACUGAAGCCCGGUCAGAAUUCUGUAAAUCAUCUGUCGGGGUCAAGACAGCUGUGGGCACUUCAAGAAAGAACCCGGAUUUCAAAUAUUUGGAAGUCGUGAUCACAAUGAGUCCUGACCCCAGGAGAAUGGAUAUGAGUUCUUUCAAUUUGUUAGUGAUGUCAGGUUUAUUAGAUGAAUGCUCUUAAAACAAAAAGGCAAUGAUGAAUGACGUCAGCUGAGUCAUAGGUGGGACAGGCUUUUCUCUGGUGACUUUUGUUGCCAAGUUAAUAAAUGGAAAGUGAGACUCAUUCUGGUAAUUAGAAGCCAAAUUGACAAUCAAGAUGGUUCUUUCCCAAAUUUGCUUAACCAGGAAGAAAGGUAAAGUGCCAAUAUGGCAGGAUACCAGGGAAGUCAUGGCCUCCAGAUAUCAUGUGUUUACUGUACAGCAGGGUGACUUGUGAAAGGGUAGAAUUAUGAGUGCAUCUGUGUGGGUGUGUUAUUCCAUAAAGCAGGAGGCAAGGUGGGCAGUCAGCCUUCAUGUGUACAUCCCAGAGACUAGUGGGGUAGAUGUACGGGUGCACCUUCUUCCCAUACAUGAGAUCCAUGGUGGAUUCUAGCUGCCCUCCCUCACCUCAGGCUGCUGGUGUUGUGCUUAUCAGAAACCCAGCCAGUGCCAGCCACUAUGAAAGAACCCAAAUGUAGGAGGAAAGAGAUUCAACAUGCACCCGAGAAGGGCUUACUCAAAACUGAUGUGGCUUAGUUUGGCGGUCUUACUUCUAAAGGUCUUUUAGGUGACGACAGCUUGAAAAUGGCCAGGGAGAGUUGUCUGGUUUUUAACAAUGAUGCCUUUAUGUUUCUAAGGUUGGGAGCAAUGGAAAUAUCCAAUGCAUAUCCAAUGCACACAGAAUGGGAAGAUGACAGUCUGCAUAGGAAGAGUAGCCAGGGUGGUCAGCUGUAGUCAGUCGACCAGGAUCUAGGAUUUUAACUCCUGCUCUUCCCUUUGUUGGUGGUAUGAACUUGGACAAGUUAGUUAACCUUUGAGCCUGUUCCCUACCUUAAAGGGGAACAAAAAAAGAGUAUCUAACUCAUAAGAUUGUCAUGAAGGUUAAAUGAGGUGGUUAUGGUAAAUCUCAUAGCUGAGUGACUCAGGCCUCUCUGCUCAGAUCAAGGAUGUCCACCAUCUGAAAACAUGUCUUAAUGGCAAGGUAUGUUUUGGAUACGCAAAUAAACCACACUUUCUACAAAGAUUGAGUUGCCACCUAAGAUAGGGUAAUGGAGCUUCUUCAAAGGAUGAAAUAAGACCAUGACUUCAUUGAAACUAGCUGAUCCCUUUUUUGACCCGAGUUUGGUCACUCAUUCUCAAGGGUGUGCACUAUGUAGAAGCCAGUCAUCUGUGGCACCAUAAAUCAAUAUCUAAUUUGCGUCAAAUAUGUCAACAAGUUAACAAAAAGGCAGCAAGACUGGUACUCUGAGUUCUUGUAGUCUCUCUGGCAGCUAAUUUACAAGCUAAAUUGAAUCAUCAGCACCCAAUUAAAUUCCUCCUGCAUCAUGGCCCAAAAUACUCAUUUUUAUUUUCUUGAUGAAGGAGGGGAAAUAGGGAAGAAUGUGAGAGCCAUAUCGCUCUCAUCCAUAUAUUUCUUUGAACUAGAGUAUAUUUCACUCUUGAAUUCCUCUGGUUUCCCAAGUCUAGUGAAGUAAAGAAAUGUUAUAAUUAUAUUUCCUGGUUGCCUACAUAUCUAUCUCCUUUGCUAUAAUCUUGGUUACUCAUUAAACUCCCACUGACUCUAUCAAGGUUAAAAAAUUUAUCUGCACAGAUCUCAAUAUCCGCUGUAGUCCCCAAGCACCCAUGAGCUAGCAGCUUUUGUAUGGAAUCUCAUCCAGAGAAGGGGUUCAUCAUUUCUGAAUGGAACCUGCCAAUGAAAUAUUAAAGUCCUUAUUGUCUCAACCACCACCACUAGAAACCAACUGUUCUGUCUAGCUGGGACAAAAGGGACAGUUAUUCCCCCUGGAAGGAAGGGUGCCAAGAAAGAAGCCAUACCACCCAGCUGCACUUUCCAAAGUCCUACUGCCAGCACUACUGGUUGCCUUUCUCAACCCAGGUUGAUAGCCCCAUAUACCAGUCAGGCAAUAAAGACAAGUUGAAAUUACCUCCACCUGCACCAGAUCCAAUCUCAUUUCUGUCUAGAGUCUGAUUCAUGGCCACAUCUCCUGUGUACAGCCCCAGCCUUGCUGCUUUAAAUGUGAAGUUUAGAUGAGUAGGCUCCAUUUGCAAGUAAACCCCUUUCUUGAGUAAAGUUCCAAAUUGCUCCUCCAGCUUCCCCAGUUUGGUCUACCUUAGGGAAGGUUUCAGGUUGAAUUCCUUCAAAUAAGAUCCUGAUUCAAGGAUUUGGGUACAAGAUCAUGUCAGAAAGCACUUUGAGGGAAGGGAAGAAAUCCAAUGAGAAAGAGUAUGUUAAUAAAUAGGUUUCCUUGUACUCAAUCCUACUAGGCAUUGUCCAAUAGAUGGUGAGGACAACUUAGAGUUGUCAUUUGGAUGAGUGAAGAAGGUGGGGGACCUUAUCCACAAACUUCCAACACUUCUUACUGGUUGAGGGUUGCUGGCUAUCUGGCUUGCCCUAUAGGCAGGGUAUAUUCCAUACCCAAAGAAAUCUAUAGGCAAGAAACCUCAGGAGCCAUGGAGUUUCUGUGCUGAUUACACAGAAUGCUGAAGGGAUGCAGCCAGGUACCAACAGUCUGCAAGGAAGACAUUACCCCCACUCAAGACGAGCAAACCUGAUGUGUCACCUGCCAAAAGGAUCAAACACCAAUCAGAGACAGUUUUGUGGUGGAUUGCAUCCCCUUCUAAGAAUAUCUUAGACAAAAGUAGCAUAGAUGAACACACUGAACCAAAUGCACGGGCCACCAAGUCUCAGUUGUGGGUUGGAGCUUGUCUAUCAUGCAGAUAGAAAGUGAUGAUGGCACAGCUCCUAUUAAUUGCUGGGCAGGGCACAGAAAUUUCCAAAGGUUUAGUUCUCAUAAUUAUAUGGUAUAGACAUUUCUAUUCUCAGGGUUUUUGUGAGACUGCUGAAAUUUGGAGAAACUAACCAAUUCACCAAAAGUUCACAGUAAGUCAUGAAACUGCAGCUCUCUGUAGCCCUCCUCCUUUUGCUGGUCCACAGGCUUCUUGGACCUCCUAAUGCAGGACAGGCCUGCUGGAGGGGCAGACCAGGUCAUCUGCUGUCUGCAGGGGCUUGGGGGAUUUGGGAAGAACAGCUUCCCCCUCCCCUCACACCCUACUCCAGACAUGCUAAAUGUCUCCAUUCCUGUACCAUAACUGACAUCUAACAUUCUGCAGUCCCACAGUCCUCAAUCCAUUCUCUAGGGCUAGCAGAAAAAGACCAUAAAAUAGAGCAAAUAAAUCCAUUAAACUCUGAGCUCAUAUGGGGCAAGAACCUUGUGAAUCAUCACUUUAUCUCCAGUACCUAGAGCUUGGUGUAUUAAAAGGCUCUUAGUAUUCAGCUGCUGAAUAAAUGAAUAAAUAUUAGUGUGAAUAAAUUUAGCAAAUAUAUGAAGGAUAGAACGGCUAAAUAUAAGAAAAGAAUAAACAAUGCAGGCAAAGAGAACUUAGGACUUUUCCUAUUUCCUAUUAAUCCUAUUAACCUGGAGAGAAACUUGACUUUUGUUUCCUUAAUCAUUAUAACUAAUAUCUAGAGUCCCCUGAUUAUUUUCCAAAGUUUUCUUGCAAUGUUUACCUUUUCAGGCCCUAAAGGUGCUCGGGAUUCCCCUCUAUACUCAAUACUCAAAGGGAAUUGACUUUUUCCAUUUCAAAUUCCACCAUAUACUUCAUACCUACUUACAAUUUUUGUAUUUAAUUUUUUUUAUUGAUUGGUUCCUUCUGUUAUAUAUGGCAGCAGAAUCCAUUUUGACAUAAUUAUAAAAGCAUAGACUAUAUCUCGUUCUAACUUAGUCCCCAGUACCUCUCCUUCCCCUCCCCUAUUUUUACUCUUUGUCCUAACAUAAGAUGAGAUGAGAUACACAAGAUCUUCAAAAUUGGGUAGCUGAUCUUUGCUCCCAAGAAAGUCUGAGAUGAUCAGAAAAAAGGUCAGAGUUGGUGUUUACUACAGAGAGAGUAAAGAAUGUUAUGACACUCAAGAAAAACAGACAUCAAUUCUAUUCUCUCUCUCUCUACAUCAAAGGAAACAGGUUCUGUAUUCUCCCAACCCUAAGUGAAAAUAUUCUCCUUCACUAUGAACUUGAGGGCUGUAUGGCUCUUUCCCAUGGAGGAUUCAGACAACUCUAUGGGGAUAAUAAAAUGUUCCAAGUUCCUACUUACUGGAUUUGUCUCUGUGUCUUCUAGACUUACCCCAAACCUCAGCAGCCCAACAUUGCCAGGGGGUGGAUUCCAAACUAUGACCAAUGUAUCAGUUUAUUUCAUUCAAGUCAGCAAGACCCUGUGAGUCCUUUCUGAGUCAUAGCCUCAUGAGCAGUAAAAUAAAAUAAUUUUACAAAUUAAGAAACUGAACCAACAAAUGGCCAAGUAGGGAUUUUUUUUUUAAAAAAAAUUUAGUUGUAGAUAGACACAAUAUCUUUAUUUAUUUAUUGUUAUGUGGUGCUGAGGAUCAAAUCCAAUUCCUCACACGUGCAAGGCAGGCACUCUACCACUGAGCUACAGCCCCAGCCCAGCAAAGUAGAGAUUUUAACCUGGUUAUUGGGACUCUGAAUUAAGUGCUUUUCUACUGCACCAAAAUGAUAGGGUAUGAGAGUGCUCAAAGGUAACUGUGUUUUAAAUCAAGUAUUAAGUCAUGACUUGCAUACAAAUAUAAAAGAACACAUACCAAAGAUUUUAUUUUCAGUCCAGUUGAUGAGAGAAUGAAUAAGGUGUUAUAACUGACCCAAAGGAGAAGCUAAAGAACAGACAUAGAGAGACAUUCAGGAUCAUUGAAGUAAAUUGUUUUAAAACAUACAAGACUGACCUAAUCCAUAGGAAGGAAAUCAAAUGCAUCUUUACUGAAUAAAAUCCACCUGCAUUGCUAUGAUUAAGAAUCAUUUGUAUCACCAUCAGGUUUCUAUAGAUUUACUUCUUUCUCUAUGGAAUAGAGAAUAAUGACUAUUUAUAAAACAGACAAUAAAAGGCACUGGACCCUCUACAAUCAGUUAACCCUGGAAGAACCAUCAAGACAUCACCUACAUUUCAUCAAAAGGAUGCCAAGUAAACUUUUGCUCAUUGCAACGUCUGUCUUUUUUUUUUCUUUUAUUUGUUUACUUUUUAUGCAGUGCUGAGGAUCGAACCUAGUGCCCCACAUGUGCUAGGCAAGAACUCCACCACUGAGCUAAGGUCCCAGCCCCCAUUUCAAUGUCUUUCAUAAUUUUUCCUGGAGGUAGCAUGGCACAGGAAGAGACACUUGUGAAGCAUACAAUUGAAAAAGAAAAAAAAUCAAUCUAAAAGCUCUUCUACCUCUUUCCUAGCCUCUUAUUUCCUGCCUUAAAAUGGGAGUUGGGAGCCCAUCCUAGGGCCCAGGUUAGGGAAUUACACUUAAGUGAGAGUGAGAAGAUGCUCCAGAAACCAAGGGAAACCCAAGCUGCAGCAUUUUGAACAGAGUAAAAUUGCAGUGCUUAGUUUCUUCAGCCUUGAAGAGCUAUUUCCAAGGGCUAAUGGCACAGAGAGGAGACCAACCACCUUGCUGGCAGCCUAGCUUGCUGAUGACCUUCCCACAGAAGUAGCUCUGGAAAACAAUGAAAAUUAAUUGAGAAUACUUUCUAAAUAUCAGUCAAGAAUUCUGUACUCUCUCCUGUUCCUUUAUGAAACACUCAAGGUACUCCUGGGUGGACGGGGCACUGGAAUAAACUCAGGAGGAGGAGAGCGAGUGGUUAUAGGAUCUGGCUACCCACAUGACAACAUAUUGUUCAUCUGAAGAUGAGGUUGUAUAAGCACAUAGUAGUGGAUACUUAAAGGAAGACAAGAGAAAGGAAACCUAGACUUUCUUGAUGCUAUUUAAUCUUAAUGAUACCUGUGCAGACACUCAAGCUGGAUAUUAAGGGACAGCUAAGAACAGUCAAGGAAGUUGGGGGAAAUACCACUCCUCAGCUAGGGAAACAUUCCCACAGCUGCAAAUAACUUUGAGUUACAACAUAACAAUUCUAAUUAUUCUCCCUGGGCUCUGGUGUCUUGAACCUGAAUCUCCUCUCUCUUCAGGCCCUCCUGUAGAUGAACAACUGCAUCUUGUCCACUGCAGAGUCUGCCUAGCAGGAGGAUUCAUGGUGUCUUGGAAGCAUGAACAUAGUUGUAUGAUGGACAGAGAGGAUCCUGGAAAAAGAAUCCAUCCUAAAUCUGAAAGUCAGAGAGGUUUCCUGGCCAACAUAGAGGCAGAGAGCCAGGCCACCAUGAAUGUUCAACCAGACAACAUAUAAAAUCUUUGAUCCAGGAUUUGGCCCAUACCAAACCUCUCAUGAUUGCUAGCUAUGAGCCUCUCUGCCUUGCUGCUUCUCUGAGAGCUUUUAGCAGCAUGACACUUGUGAAUGGAUCAGAUAAGAGGACAAUCUGUUAAAUCCUUCCAGUCUCUUUCCUACCUUUAAAAUCAGUCAGGAGCCCAUCCCAGGGUUAGUGCAGAAUGCCUAAGUGGGAGAGAGAGAUGAUGUGGAAACCUCCAGAAACCCAGGGAAACAUGUUUCAGUGAUUUUUAAUAUAAAAAAAUUGCUUUAUGUAAAAAAAAAAUCCUGGAAGCCUAUCUGAUUUUAUUCAGUAUCUACUGGAGCAAUCCCAACAUUUGAUAUCAAUCAAUUAUUUAGGAGACCUUACCAUCUGCAUUGCACAAUCAGAAAGAAAGCAGCAGCUCUGGUUAGUAAGAUUAAGUUUUUCAUCCCACAACUUAUUUUCAUCCAUUCAGAAGGUCACCAGUUAAUGGUGCUCAUUUUUAUAGUGGGAAACCAUCGUAGAUGGCUCUACUAAUGAGAUGCUUUUAAAACAGCAGGUCAGUGAGUCUCGUGGUAUCACAUAAAGGACUUUUAUGAGGCUAUUGGCUUUCGGCAAAUAAUCACUUUAAUGCUAUAUCCUAAAUGUAAUUGUAAACACUCAGUUGGACUAUUUAACCUUAAUGAUACUUAAGCAGGAGAAGGCAGAAAAAAUGGUGGCCUCCCCCAAGAAGAGAUGAAAGUUGUAAUGGGGGAAGCAUUUCCUGAUAAUUAAACAGUAUGAUGAAAUGGUCCAUUUGGAGGUAAAGGUGGUUGAAGGUAUAGGUUUGGGCAUCUGUGCUAACCCUUUGACCUCAAAUUCAGACCUUAACCUCUCUGAGGCUAUUUCCUUUCCUACGACAUGAGCAUCAUGUUAAGCAUCUCUUGAGGUUAAUGUGAGAAUUCACUUAAUAAUUGUGACAAUUGUCAUCAAGAUCACAUGCCAGACUCAAGAUGCUUUGUCAUGUCUCCUCACAGCAGCGAGAGUCACAGAGCUUCCUUUUCUUGGAUAUUAGUGCAGCAAGGAGUCUCUCAGUGAAAGCUGUGCUCUCUGCCAGAUAAUCGAGUCCUCGCUCUAAGAGAAAACUAGAAAGGAAGAGAGAACUUUCUCCAGAUUUGUAUAUAGUUAUUUUGUUUUAGGUCUGGUCAAAUGAGGAUCUUGUAAAUAAUAUCUGUGGUUGAGGAGCUCAGGCAUGAGUGAAAGAGCAGAGAGUUCCCUCCAAAAAUGUUCCCCUUUCAUUUGUUUUUCUGCCCUCUAUCUGAAAUAGAAUUUGGAAAUUUUCUCUAUGCCACCUGGAAUCUCUUUUGCCAUGGGGAAAAGGAAAAGCGUAGCUUAUUUGAGAUGAUGGUGUAUAGUUCAUGUUUUUAAUCAUUCAGCCUCCAGAGAUGAGCAGCAAAAAAAAAAAAGAAUUGUCAAUUACCAAGUUCAGACAGAGUCUUUCAAGAUAGGUACCCAUGCCUACAGAUCUAAACCACCCCCUGCAGAAUAUAGCAUCAGUUUCUAACAUUACACCCAGGAUGAGAGUUAUAAGGGGUGUGUGUGUGUGUGUGUGUGUGUGUGUGAGAGAGAGAGAGAGAGAGAGAGAGAUGAUAAUGAUGAUGAUGAUGAUGAUGAUGAUGCAGAGGAGCUAAUGAAAGAGUGUUUACAAAAAAAUCUUUUUUAAAUGAGGUGAUUCUCACCCCAUCUAUAUUUCAAAGAAAAUUCCCGGGCAAAAUGAGACAUCUCUUCAAAGAUAUUUUCCAUCAAAGAGCAUUCUGAGAUUCCAUGAAAGGUUUCACUGUAGAAUCCCAAAUAGAUCAAUUAAUUACCUUACUAGAACUUGGUAGCUCUUAUCCAGUAAUUGGGUAUUCAUGUCUCUGCAAACCAACCUUGAAAAUCAACUUUAGAAUCCUAUGCAUUCUCAAACCAGUAACCUCCUGAGAAUUCAACUGUGUAAUCCCUUCAUUUUUACAUAUGAGGGACCAAAGUCUUAUCAGUCAGAAUAUUAGUGACAGAAACCCCAGCUCAGGCUGGCUUUAAUCAAAAAGAAAAUUUCUAUUAAAGUAAUUGAAAAGUUUAGGGGUGAUACCUCCCAACAUGGCUAUAUCAAAGUGGUCACGCAGUUUCCAAGCACAUAUGUGUCAACACCUCAUUCUAUGUGACUCUGUCUGUGUCACCUUAGUUUCAGAUUCUCUUGCUGAAGACACAAAGAUGACUGGCAUCUCCAGCUUAUAUACAGAAAACCUUGAACUCCAACAGAAAGAUAUUCUGCCUUCCAGAACCACCCCCACCCCCGACACACACACACACACACACACACACACACACCAGGCUUACCCUAUUUGGUCGACCCAAGUCAUAUAGCCAUGUGCUCACAUACAUGGUCUGACACAUACCAGUGGUCAGCCUGAACCACAUCCUAACCCAAAAAUCAUGAGCUGGAGGAGAGGAGGAAGUUAUGAAAGGUAAACAAGGAUACACUUACCCUGGAAGAGAGAUGAGGAGAUAUUGAGACAAAAUAAAUAGAUGUUUACUGCAGACACUGAGAGGUGUAAUCCACCAAAAAUUACACACAGUUAAUGGAAGAUAGAUCUCCUGCACUAUUCUAUAUUGACUUUUGAGUCACUAGGGUCAAAGGAACUAUUAUUCAGAGGAAACAGGAAAUUACUUGUUUUUGAUUCAGCAGAUUUAUAUCGGGUUACCGGAACAGUGUACAAGUACACACUGUCAACUGAGAAAAUACAGAAUGAGAAAAGUUCUAUGAAUUCAGCAACACUUUUUAAAUCCUUAUUAAUCACAAUGGCAUCUACAUACUCUUGAAAAAUAGACUUUCCCAAACAUUCCAGACAUUCCACUUAUUCAGGCUAGAGUCAAUUCUUGGUCCCCACAUGAAUUUUGCAGCACGUUGUGUGGUUCACUGCCCAGAGAAUUAUUAAGAAUUAUUGUUUUAAUCCAACCUGUAGACACGCCAGAAAAUAAAGCCAUAUAUUUGGUAAAACUCAAGCAACAAGCAAUCUCAGAACUUGAGAUGAAUGUUGCAGGAAGGGGAUGAUUGCCAUGUGGAGAAGGGGGAGGCUAUGACCAUUCGGUAGACAUAGCAGGAGCAGAGGACCACGAGAGACCGGCCUGGUGGAGAGGAGAUGUGGGCUUAGUGAAGCAUGGUGGACUAGAUUCUGGAGAACAGGAAACCAGCUUCUGGCUCCUGUUUCCACAUAACUACUGAAUGUGGGCACUCAAUGUGAAGUUAGUGAAGGUCCUUCAGUUGGCAGAUAACAGGAUGAACACAGUGCUAAGUGAUAAAGAAAUGAAACCUUUGGCUCUCUUAGGAAACCAGUUCUCCUGAAUCUGUAGUGUUUAUGGAAUUACAACAAAUUCAUUUCAGGAUAUCAGUCUUAGCGUGAUGAUAAGCCAUUGCAGGCUCCACUGAAUCAUUUGGGUGAUGAGCAGAGAACUGGUCCUCCUUGUUAGCAUUUUACACAAAAAGGAAAACAAGAGUGGGAAAUACUGCUCAGAGCAGCAAAAGCUCAUAGUCCACUCUUAUUUGCUAGGGUGAUUUUCCUGACACUGUAAUCAAAUCAAUAAGAAUUGGUUAUUUAAUAAGGAAGGUUAUCAGAUUGUAAAAAUGAUUCCUGACUUCAAGGGCCCUAUGAGACCCAGGUAUCAUGCCUCUAUAAGCUAUGUGACCAAAAUCAGCUCCAAUGCUCUGCUACUCUUUAUCUUGGCUAUUGGAAAAGGUACCACUGGACCUGCACUAGACUGAUGGUCCUGCACUGUUUAUUAUCAAGAAGGAUGGGGUAGGGGAAAGAAACUGAAAUGAGCUCAGGACUAAUGAAGGCAGAGAUCACGCAUCUCAUUCAUUUUCUCAUUUAACUCUCCCAAACACCCUGCAUGCAAAGGUAUUACUGCCUUCGUCUGAACAGACUUGCAGGGAUUAAGUGAUUUAUUUAAGGACAUGUAGCUUGUAGUGGCUGAGUUGAGUCAAACUGAGAUCAGAGCCAAAGUUCAUGAAUUUCCCAAUAAAUAUAUACAACAUUGGGUGGCAAGAGUGGCAAAAUGGUUUUAUCUGUCCUUACUCUGUGGCUAUUAAAGUGAAAAAUAUCAGGGACCUUGAAUAAUUAGAGAACCUUAUGUUCCCACCUCUCAUUCCUUUAACUAUAGAUCGUUGUUCAUCAGCCUCUUUCCAUCCAAUUUCAUUUUGCUCUCCCCCACUCAGCUCCUAUAAUAUGGAAAACACUGAUGUAUUUAAUCUCAUCUAGUUCUCACAGAAACUCCAUGAAGUAGGUACCAGUUUUCCUUAUUUAACAUAUGGAAAAUCUAAGAGCCAAAUAAAAGCAAUAACUUCCCCCAAAUCAUGCAAAAAAUGACCGUGGGAUUCCAAUCCAUUUCUGACUCUAAGCCAAAGCUGUCCCCUGAGUGGCAGCACCUAUCUAUGCCUGGCGCUUGAUGUCAUGCUCACCACCAGUCAUUUUUCUAAAAAAAAAAAAAAAAAAAAAGAUAAUAAUAACACCUGCCACAGAGAGCAUCAAUCAGGAUAAAGAGGGCCACUGCCAGCUGAGCAUUCAGAAGCCUCCUUACUCAAUUAUCAACUUUCCCAAAGAAUGGAGACUCUAGCAGGGCUCCUACCUGGUCCAGGCACUAGCUGCCAAGCAACCAUUGAGUGUUCCCUGCAAAGCUGAGUGGUACUGGAGUUGCCAGGUGUCAUUAAACUGUCAGAUCCCUUCCUGGAGCCCCCAGCAGCCUGACAAGCUAAUUGUCAGGUGUUGAAAUCAACAAGUUUCAAAAGGUUUCACAAUUAACCUCCCUCUGCCUCUAGAAGCAUUAUUGUUCUUCCCGCAGAAGCUACACAGCUCUGUUUCCAUUGCUCAGUCCUUGUGUGCCCUUGGCAUUGAAGUUCAGGGAGCCACAGUCAUAUUAGCAUGGUCAGUGCUAAACAUAACCAGGGAAGGAAAACAGCUGCAAGAAACACAUGUGUUGUACAUUUCCAAAACAAAGGCACGUUGAACUAUCCACUGGUUUAUCUGCCAUGGAACUAUGCACCUCUGUUAUUGCUAAAACACAGAGCAGAGAAUGAAAGAUUAGACCCUGACACAUAGUCCCAGCAAUUUCAAUUCCCUUCCUUGAGGCUGAGUUAGAAAUGAUCUUCCUCAGUUAGUUACAAAAAAACAAAAACAUACAAACAAAGAAAAAACCCUUAUAUUUACAGAUAAAUGUACAGCCUAAAAAAACUACAUUUAUUUGAAUUAUCACUGUGGUAAAUAAACUUUGAAAGAAUAGAGGUGGGGUGGUUUUUAGCUCAAGGUAACAUAACAAGUGGUGAUCAAAAUGCAAAACAGACAGUGUUUUUCUUGACUCCUCUUGCGGCAUUCUUUCCUUUGGACCAUACUGCCCUUCAGGUAUUCUCCCAAAAGUGUGGCUGGUGGCCAAUUAAAGCUCAGAGAACUGGGGCUCAGGGACUAAAGGAAAAAAGAUAUACACUUGCAGACUGAAUUCCGACUCCUUAAAGAUUGGCGGCCAGCCUCACUGGUCACUCCUGCAAUUUAACAGACAUAUGCAGAUUGUCUGUCAUAUGUCCCGACAGCCCCAGUUACUAGAAGCAUGGAAUUCAGCAGAAUAUCUCUUGGGAACCCACAAACCAGUUGUCUAUCAAGGAUCUGCAGAAAGAUUUGCUAGUAGAGAAGGAUGGGCAAUUGCCACAGGAACUCAAAGGAAGGAUGGGGGAAGACACAGAAGAACAGGGCCCUAGAGAAAGGAAGUAUGAGUACAAAGAGCAUGAGCAUUUUAGGACCUGAGCCCAAUGUGAUGUGGCUGGAAUGAAGGAUGAUAAAAUAAAGAUUAGAAAUGUAUGUAGAGACAAGAUGCUAAAGGAUCUUGAACACCAUGAAGGAUAUGAACAUUUUUCGGAAGCAAUGGAUCAAUUUCAACCAUUGAAGAACUUUGACAUCAUUUAAAUCACAUUUUAGAAAAGUUCCUCUAUCCCAUUCCUCAGUAUUUACCCCAAAGAACUAGACCAGCAUGCACUAAAGUGCAACAUAGCCAUGACAGUGUUUAUACCAGCGCAAUUCACAGUUCACGAUAGCCAUAUUAUGGAAUCAAUCCAGAUGCUCAUUAAUAGAUGAAUGGGUCAAGAAAACGUGAGGCACGUGCACGCACACAUCUUAAUAAUAAUAACAACAACAACAACAACAACAACAACAACCCAAUCAUUAAAUGGGCAAAAGAACUAAACAGCAUUUCUCAAAAGAAGAAAUACAAAUAGUCAACAAAUACAUGAAAAAAAUGCUUGACAUCUUCAGCAGUUAGGGAAAUCAAAUCAAAACUACAUUUCAUCUCACAUCAGUGAGAAUGGCAAUUAUCAAAAUUAAAAAUAAUAAUAAAUACUGGUAAGAAAGUGGGAGGGAAAUGUAUAGUCACACAUUGCUGGUGGGUCUGCGAAUUAGUGUAACUACUCUGGAAAGCAGAAUAGAGAUUCCUCAAAAAACUAGGACUAGAACUACCAUAUGACCCAGCUAUCCCAUUCCUUGGUACAUAUCCAAGAGAACUAAAAUCAGUGUAUUAUAGGGAUGAAGUCACAACAAUGUUUAUAGCAGCACAAUUCACAAUAGUCAUUUGUGGAGCCCACCCAGGUGCCAUCAACAGAUUAAUGGAUAAAGAAUAUGCGGUACAUAUACACAAUGAAGGACAUUACUCAGCCAUAAAGAAGAAUGAAAUUGUGGUAUUUGCCAGUAAAUGGAUGGAACUGGAGAUCAUCAUGCUUAUUGAAAUAAGCCAGACCCAGAAAGUCAAAGUGCUAAUGUUUUUUCUCAUAUGCAGAAGCUAGUCCAAAGUAAGGUAAAAUAAAAGGAAGGGAAGCAGUGGAUUCCAUUAAAAUAGAACAAAGAACAGUGAAGAAGAGGAAGGAGAUUGAGGGGGAGGGAGGAGGGAUAAGACCCUUAAGGAAGGAACAAUGGAAUGCAUCCGAACUAACUUUCCCAUGUACAUAUGUGAAUGCACCAAUAUGAGUCUCACCAUUAUGUAUAUCCACAAGGCACUAAUGGAAAAAAAAAAAAACUAAGUAAAUACCAGAAAGAUCAGUGGUGUAGAGGGUAGGGAACAGCCGGGAGGCAGGAGGGGAGGGAAAGGAGUAUACUGGGGUCUGAAUUAGGGUAAAUUAUAUUCCAUGCUUUUAUAAUUAUGUCAGAUCUAAUCCUAAUGUUACAUAUAACUAAAAAAGAACUAAUAAAAAGAAAAAAAGUUCCUCUAAUGAUAGUAGGCAGAAUGGAUUAGGCAAUAAUAGAAAUAGAAAAAGCCUCUAGUAUGGUUAUCAAAAAACCUUUCCAGUUUUUUAAAAAAGGUGCAAAACUAAAAUGUCCAUGGCAGGAGAUAGAAAGACAGGAUUGAGUUGAGAGAUGCUGAGAAGAUAGAAUGAUAGGAAUUCAUAAAUGUGGGGGUUGGAAAGACGAAAGGCCAAUGAAUGACUCCCAAAUUUUUUAUUUUAGUGCUUGGAAAGAGUUCUGUAUUCACUAGGGAAAAGCAGACUCGAGAGGAAGUUGAAGAGUAGAAAUUCAGAUAUGUCAACUAUGGGACUCAUCAGAGGGAGAUGGUUAGAAGAUCUGUGGAUGGGCAGGCCUGGACCUCUAGAGGAAGCUCAGGGAGGGAGCAAAGGAAGAGAAAGUUCUCCAUGUGUAGCCCCCCAUUGAAACCAGAGGCCAAGACAGCACUGUUCACUAAAGGAGUGCAGGAAUAAGCAGAGGAAACCCUGGGACCCAGCAACUCCUGAAUCAGCAGGGUCCUAGAAAUCAAGGACAGGAAGAGUGAGGAGGCAGGAUCAGCAAUGAGCUGCAUGUGAUCAUUUCAUCUAGCACCAGAGAGCCACUGCUGACUUUUUAAACAAAUGCCUCUGCAACUGGGUUUAUUUACAUGUGAGGGGAAAUAAAUAAAAAUGUCACUUUUUUUUUCCUUAGAAUGAGGUUAUUUCAUUUAUAUGUAGGUAAAGGCCUUCAACUAUGUGUGUGUGUGUGUGUGUGUGUGUAUAAGUCUGGGGAAGCAGGACUUCUUGGUCCUGUUCUUGUACCUCCAGAGCUUCCAAAGCCCCCUAAAUCUUCAUUUGUUUCUCUGAGCUUUAACUAUUCCCCAUAAAUAACUAUCUUCUAGAUUCCCAACUAGGAAUACCACUUUAAAAAACAGUGCUCAGAUACAAGCUAAUGCCCCAGGCAGUCUUGUUUAAAGACGGUGUUGUACUCCAAGAAACAAUCUAAUGUGCAUAAUGUUCGAAGAGUUUUUCCAAUUAUUCCUUAAAGAACAUGAAAGGGGAUUGAAUUCAUAAUACACCCCCAGUUGCCUCGGUGCUUUUCCACCUCUCUCCCUUUCUUGCACCCCAGCUACUCCUUUGGAACCUCACAUUUAACUCUACAAUUUUCCCCUUGCACCUCCAAAUCUUCCAAAACCUCAGAAUUUGGGUUGCCUUCCUUUGUCCUUUUAGCCUGUGAACUAGCUGCAGAGACAGAGCUCCACAUCUCAAGAGAAAGAGAAAGAAGAAGGAACUGAAUAAACAGAGAUUGGAUGCUCUCAAAGCCAGCAGCGCUGAGUUCAGGAAAAGGUUGUGAAUGUGCAUUUUACUAAACUUUUUUUCCAACUACAUGUUUAGAACUUUAAACUUUUGAAAACAUAUUUAUGUUUGUACCCUUACGUGAUCCUCCCACCAUGCCCUCUGAAAUCAGUGGAACUCUAUGAGAAAGCACAUUGAGCAGUAUGGUUUGAAUGUGUUUCCUGAAGGUUCCUGGGCUGGAGGUUUGGUCCCUAGUGUGGCAGCAUAGAGGUGGUGAAGUUGUUCUGGUGGGGCCCAGAGGAAGGUAAUUAAGUCACAGUGGGCAUUACCCUCAGAAGAGACUAGUGUCAUUCUCACGGGAGUCCAGUCAAUUCCCUUGGGAGAAAACUUUUAGAAAAAGAGAAACCCUGGUCCCUGAAUCUCUCUGACUUCUUGUCUUGCCAUGUGAUCUGUUCUGAACAGGCUCCUGCCAUUUUGCUGCCAUCUAUCAUAAGGAUCUCAUCAGAAGUUAGAGAGACGGAACUUCCCAAUAUUGGGCUUUCAGCCUCCUAACCUGUGGGUUAAAUGAACCUCUUCUGGUUAUAAAGCACCCAGCCUCAGAUAUUUUACUAUAGCAGCAGAAAAUGAACCAAGACACUGAAAUACCAAAUCCCCUGUCCAAAUUUACUCAUUUUGUCACACCAGAGCCAAACUGCACCUCUUUCCCAGAAGUCUCACCCCAGUUAUCUCUCCUGUCCUCCCCAAUCCCCUAGGCUCAGCCACAGCCAGUGCUUGCUGAGUAGGCUCUGGUUGGUGAGAAUAGAGUCGGAGUAUGGGUCACUCAUGAAUCCUGGCAUCUUAAGUAUGUUUUGUGCAUAAACAAGAGUGCUUAAGCCAACAAAGAAUAUGGGAGGAAAUGAAUCCCAUUUUAUCAACUAUUUACUGCAGCUAUAGCCUAGGUACCUCCUGUAAACUCAGGCUGUGAGUUUAAAUAUCAAAUCAUUUCUUGUAUGCUUGAAUUUUGCAUGACUACAAUUUUCAAAGAAAUAACACCAUUUCAUGCCUCCUGCCUGAACAGACAGCCCCCCUCAAACUCAGCAUCUGCCAGAUGCACAAAUUUGGAAGGAAAUGCUAGAACCCUAGCCCCUUUCUCUUGGAAGAUAAUUAAGUAUGAAUUAUUCAGAAAUCCUAUAUUACUGAGCAGUAUUGUGGAGGCAAUUUUGCCCAGUUUCCAUCUUUCCCUGUGAUAGGACACAAAAUUCAGUCUUCUAUAGCAUAUCUUAUUUCAUAUUUCCCUAACUUUAAAACAGCUGAAAUUGAGAGGCAAGUCAAAAAAAAAAAGAACUAAUUUUUAUAGAAGAAAAUCAUAUAUCUAACAUCAGAUAGUUUCUGGUAUUGUGCUCAGAUGAGAGGAGAGAAUAGACAGCAAUUUUAGUAACAGCAGUCCUUCAUUUGGUAGUUGGGUAGCAACCUGGUUUCUUUUUCUGCCAGCAAAGUCAGGGACUUGAGUUGAAAAUAAGUGUUGAAACCUUGUUUACUCUGCACAUCUUGGGGAAAUAUCACUGCAAAAUUAAAAACACUAUUGGCACCAGGUGCAUGCUAAGAAUGUAAGUAGCACUGUUAAUUUACUCUAAUGAAUUAAUUACCAUAAUGCCCUGGUCUACAGGGAAUUUACCUAGAAAGAGGAAUGGAAUGGUUGGGGAGAUCCAGGGCUGCUUCAUCGCUCACACUGGAGGAAGCUCGCCUACACCAGAUGAGCUGCUCUGGGAGACCUAGAUCAGGGGGAGAGGUUGAAAGAAACCCCAGGAGGCUUCGGCAUUCCUGUGGUUCUCAUGAUGCAUCAGAACACUUGGAGGGUUACACAAUCCACACUGCUGGGCCUUACCCCAGGUUCAAGUUAAAAUCCAAGAGGUCCCCAGGUGAUCAUUGCUGCUGUUGCUGGUUUCAGGCACCAUGCUUUAAAAACUAUGGUCCUAGACCACUGAGCUACAGAGAAGGAGGCAGAGUGAACUCUGAAAUCUUCCCGCUUAGCUUAGUGGGAGACCCUGAGGAGGUGCCCCAACACUCUAAGGGAUACAUUGUCCAUCUAUAAAUGGGGAUGACCACAAGCACUCAGGUGCUGUUGUGAAGAAGAGGGCCACACUGUCUGACACACCUGUGAUCCUUAGCAAGCUCCAGAUAGAUUAUGACUAUAGGUUGAUAGCAGCCACAGCAUCUACCAAGUCCCAUCUUUCCUAUGAGCUCAGACAAGGCUUCAUUCAUGCAAACCUUGGAAGGGACAUAAAUUGUCUCUGGCAGUGUCCUCUCUGUGCCCUUUUGGGUUCAUUUGUUUUCGAAAGCCCUGAUUAGAAAUAAAUACCAGCAUUUCACACAGGAUAAAAUACAAUACUGAAUAAUAACAACAAUAGCAGCUGUUAAUGGCACUUCCAAGGCUCCAGGCGCCAUGCCAAGAAAGUUACCAUGCUUACAUUUAAACCCCAUGACCCCUGUAUGAGGUAGGAAUCAUUAUCAACCCAUAAACAGGUCAGCUGAGGGGAAACUGAGUCUCAAAUGGGUCAGUAACUCACUCAAGGUCACCCCACCAGCCAGCAAUGGAAGCCAGAUUCAAGCCCAAUUGGCCCAACUCCAGAGCUCCCAGGCCGGCCCUUCUGCUAUGGAUUUACCUAAGGGGGUGACCACGAUGCUAUUUUGCAUUUGCUCAGGACUUUCCAGGUUCUACAGCACUUCACCAAAGCCACUGGGUUUGAUUUCCUACUUUUGCCAAGUACUUGCUGGGUGCCCUUACAUGAAUCAUCGAACAUUUCUGAGCAAACUUGUGAAAGCCUCAGAAGGUUUAUGAUUAUUUGCAGGAAUAAGAAGGGAUGUAAGAGGACAAGAAACAUCCGCAAAAAUAAUGAGAUUAAACUCAACUAAAUGCUACCGUGCACAACAGUUGAAGGAUUUACUCAAAGGCGUCAUGACACAGGGUGGUAUUUUCAAAGCCCGCAGCCCAGGGGGAUAUUAAAAAGUGAUACGAUUCAGAAAUAGUAAUCGUUAUUAAGAGAAGGAAUACAAAUUACAUCUAUGGGAAUUUAUUUUGUACUGAGCACCCUAAUAUGAGGCUCUGAAUAAAUUUGCAUAUGUUCUGGUUUUAUAUCUGAGCUUAAAGAGGUUACGGAGCUAGACAUAAAUGUAGAGCAGUCUGCUCCCAACACCCUCUCUUUCUGGGAUAAACUCCAUGAAGAUUUGGGGAUAAAAGAGUCUGGCAUUCCUGUUCCUUCCUGCCAGUGAUGUGUGACAGGGCUUCCCUGCCCAUUCUACAUGUCUUUCAAAUUCCACGCCCAUCACAUCACCCUGACAUCUUGAAACAGCCAUGGUGGAAGUUUUUACACUACAAAAAUCAGCAGGUGCUGCAACGCAAGGCUCUCUCUCUCUCUCCUCCCCACCCUUCUUCCCUAGUCAGGUUCCCAGAAAACUGUUGACCUGUCCUCUCUCUUUAUAUAUUUUUACUGUCAAGAUUUGGCACCUAUCAGGAGGCAACAGAGACAUUAUAAAGGGCUAAAAGCACUAUUUAAUAUUACCGGGAGGAAAUCAAAGUUGUUUUGAUCAAAAACUGUGUUGACUUCCAACAGAGACAGUUCCUCUUCCUUCUUUAGUCUAUGGAUAAAUUUAUUCCUCUUUAUCUAUUCUAUUAUCCCCAGGUCCAGGCAAAGCAUGAGCAUUCCAGGUACAUGGACCCAGGUGUGCUAUUAGGCCUCUUCACAGCUCUCACUGACCGUUGACCACCCGUCUCAGAACAGAAGAGCAUCAGCAGGAUUCUCUUCUCCAUCCCAGCCUUCAGACCAAACAGAGUCCAUGAAGAUGUUGAGAAGCAAGGACAGAAAGAGGAAGCUUCCCCUACAUCCCCCAGAUACUCCUCUCCUCUCCAGGGGCUGUAAGAAGCCAUCUUCCAAGGGCUUAUGAAAACACAGGGAUCUUUGCAAUUUCACACUGAAGGACUUCAUGCCUCACUCUGGCUGGAAGCAGGAAGAUUCCUCAGAAGUGCAUCCCUCCCUCUCUUUAGGACUCCACUUCCCUCUUGGCAAGAGGAGUAAACUAAUCAAAAGGAGGCCUUUCCUUCCCCUUGCCUUCCAAUCAUCCUUCACACCCCUCACAUGCCUGGCACUCAUUAGGAGCUUCAUGUCUGACACUUCUUUCUCAGACCUUCACAGGUAUUAGGAUACAAGAAAUUCUGCUAACAGCCUCUUUUGCAAUUCCACAAG